CCUACGGGGGACAGCAGUGAGGAAUAUUGGUCAAUGGACGAGAGUCUGAACCAGCCAAGUAGCGUGAAGGAUGACUGCCCUAUGGGUUGUAAACUUCUUUUAUAUGGGAAUAAAAUGUUCCACGUGUGGGAUUUUGUAUGUACCAUAUGCAUAAGGAUCGGCUAACUCCGUGCCAGCAGCCGCGGUAAUACGGAGGAUCCUAGCGUUAGCCGGAUUUAUUGGGUUUAAAGGGAGCGUAGGUGGAUUGUUAAGUCAGUUGUGAAAGUUUGCGGCUCAACCGUAAAAUUGCAGUUGAAACUGGCAGUCGUGAGUACAGUAGAGGUGGGCGGAAUUCGUGGUGUAGCGGUGAAAUGCUUAGAUAUCACGAAGAACUCCGAUUGCGAAGGCAGCUCACUGGACUGCAACUGACACUGAGGCUCGAAAGUGUGGGUAUCAAACAGGAUUAGAUACCCGUGUAGUC
rnacentral:rRNA from 1 species